rnacentral:rRNA from 1 species
GACGAACGCUGGCGGCGUGCUUAACACAUGCAAGUCGAACGGAAAGGCCCUGCUUUUGUGGGGGGCUCGAGUGGCGAACGGGUGAGGAACACGUGAGUAACCUGCCCUUGACUUUGGGAUAACUUCAGGAAACGGGGGCUAAUACCGGAUAGGAGCGCCUGCUGCAUGGUGGGGGUUGGAAAGUUUCGGCGGUUGGGGAUGGACUCGCGGCUUAUCAGCUUGUUGGUGGGGUAGUGGCUUACCAAGGCUUUGACGGGUAGCCGGCCUGAGAGGGUGACCGGACACAGUGGGACUGAGAUACGGCCCAGACUCCUACGGGAGGCAGCAGUGGGGAAUAUUGCACAAUGGGCGGAAGCCUGAUGCAGCAACGCCGCGUGCGGGAUGACGGCCUUCGGGUUGUAAACCGCUUUCGCCUGUGACGAAGCGUGAGUGACGGUAAUGUGUAAAGAAGCACCGGCUAACUACGUG